UCCAAACUUCUUCCUCUUUAUUUUUCUCUUAUUAAAAACACCCAUUUCCAUCUAUCUCAGUUGCGUUUGAAUCCAAAUCAGGGACCUACAAUCGGCCCAUGACUCCUCUUCGUGAUUUUUUGGCUGAAUCACGUUGCUUCGUUUUCAUGGAAUUUGGUUACCUAAUUACUAUUGUUGCCAGUGUUGUUGGGUGGAUCUGUAUUGAUUGUGUCGUUGCUCGAUGGGUCUGUGGCGGUUGUUCUCUUCAUCAAAGCUAUGUCGUCGGUCAGUUUACCUAAAACCUAAUUUUUCAAUUUUAUGUUCUAAUCUAUGUGACCCCAUAUCCUAAGUAAAUCGAAAUUUGUAUCUAAGUUCUCUAAUUGGUGUUCUGAAGUUUGAAAUUUCAUCCAUUUAUAUCCAACUUCGAGUCGAGCAUCUAUGGGGAAGAUAGAAGUUUGGAAGCCAUGAAUCAAGGGAUUGGUGUUAAUCUUGAUCUCAACUUCUGUUUUUUCUGCUGAUGAUAGUUGAAAGGGGAACGACAAUGUUCAAAAGGUGGAUGUGUGCUUUAAAAUUUAUGAAUUACCUUCAGAGAAAUAACUUAAGGGGAAGAACUUGUUUUUUUUUCUUUCCUGCCCUUACUCUUCCCUUGUCUCUCCUCUGUUCUUUGCUUGAUUUUGUUAUGAUUUUACGUUUAAUAUAUGAUUUUUAGUGCUUUAGAAGCU